CAAUAGCGUAUAUUAACGUUGUUGCAGUUAACAAGCUCGUAGUUGGAUUUCUGGAGGGAGCGUCGGCCCGUAUUUACGAGUGCGUGACGUCUCUGUCCAUCCUUGCGGGAAGGCACGGCAUUGAUUUGUUGUGUCGGAUCGCAUCAUUUACUGUGAAAAAAUUAGAGUGUUCAAAGCAGGCUUUCGCUUGAAUACAUUAGCAUGGAAUAAUAAGAUAGGACUUUGGUGCUAUUUUGUUGGUUGAGCCUAAAGUAAUGAUUAAUAGGGAUAGUUGGGGGCACCUGUAUUGCGUUGUCAGAGGUGAAAUUCUUGGAUUUACGCAAGACAAACAGCUGCGAAAGCGUCUGCCAAGGAUGUUUUCAUUAA
rnacentral:rRNA from 1 species